rfam:Microbial mat metagenome hsmat01_BHWG7971_y1, whole genome shotgun sequence.
GUCGUCGCGAGGCGGGGUCCGCAGGCAGUGUGCAGCGAACCCGCGACCCGAUGGACAAGAACCGGAGACGAGGCGGUACAGGUGGGACGAGCGGGCGGAUUCCGCGAAGUCCAGGGCCACUAAGGGCCUGUGCCGUAGAUCCGGCGGGGGUGCGGGGAAGGCGGUCGGAC